AGAUGGACACUUUCCUCCUGUGCAAGGAGGGGGCAGCUGACACCCCAGCCGCCGUGUUUAAGAUCAGCGCUUCAGGCUCCACUCCCAGGCACAAUCCUCCGUGGGGGCUGUGAGCUCAGCCCCUGCUGGGCGGGGGCACCUACAGGGACGGAUUCUGUCCCUCCCACUUCUCCUGGGAGGCUGGCUCUCUGGGAAGGCCUUUCCCUCCAGCCCUGGGCUCCCCAUCUGAACAGGGGAGCUGCCUGACCUGAGCACCGAUCCUGGUUCCUGGCCUCUGGGCUCCUGGGCAGCGGGUCCUGGAGCAGGUCCUGGGCAGCCCUCUCUGGGCCUGCACCGCUUCUCUCAGUGACUGUGUCUGUGAGGAUGGAAGCACCAAGGUGGGGAGCAGGGCCGUCCUCAGCUGCCCAGGGCUCGGCUUGGAAAGCAGAGACACAGCAUUUUGGAAACAACAAAGAUUUAUCAAACUCUCCUGGUUGAGAACCUCCCCUCCGUGGGUCACACAAAAUCACUCAGAUUUUACUCUGAGCCACCGCUACACACAGCUCUGCAUGACCCCUCGCCUCCAGCAGGAGCCACUGAGACCAUCAGCCCAGCGCAGAACAGCUCAGACCCCAGCUCAGGGGAGUCGGGAGGAUUCUCAGCUAUGGGACUGGACUCUGAGGGUCACGUCCUGGCCAGGGGAGGCGGCUGCCCUGGGUGGACAUGUGGGGAUCCUGGGGUGAUUUGGUCCUGCUGACCUCUGACCUCUGUGUCCAAUUCCCAGCCUCACCUCCCCAGGACUACACAGUGCAGAACCUCAUCCGGAUGGGCCUGGCUGGCCUGGUCCUGCUGGUCCUCGGGAUCCUGCUGUUUCAGGCUCAGGACAGCCAGAGAGGGACCCGAGAUGCAGCCAGGAGGUGAACAGGAGAGAACAGGGCACACUCAGAGGGCAGAGCUGGGAGUCGAAGGACCCUCAGGAGUCUGAAGGCCACCUGGACAGGUGGGGCUGCACCUGAGACUCUCCUGGCAGCAGAGGUGACUGGGUGCAGGACCAGCUGGGUGCUGGCUGAGAGCCUUCCCACCAUGCUGUGCGCACCCAGGGCUGGCCCACCGCUCUCUGUAGCCCUCCACGCGCCAGUCCCCACGGGGAGAUGUGAAGAUGCCCCUGAAACACGGGACAUGCAAGCCACAGGCUGGUGUCUGAGGGACUGUGUAAGGGGCGCUGGUCCUGUGGACAUGACCGUGAAAAAGUCUCAUUAAAACCCUGAGAGUUCUGC